rnacentral:rRNA from 1 species
UACGGGGGGGGCAAGCGUUGUUCGGAAUUACUGGGCGUAAAGGGCGCGUAGGCGGCCGCCUAAGUCAGACGUGAAAUCCCUCGGCUCAACCGGGGAACUGCGUCUGAUACUGGGUGGCUUGAAUUCGGGAGAGGGAUGCGGAAUUCCGAGGUGUAGCGGUGAAAUGCGUAGAUAUCUGGAGGAACACCGGUGGCGAAGGCGGCAUCCUGGACCGAGAUUGACGCUGAGGCGCGAAAGCCAGGGGAGCAAACGGGGAUUAAGAAACCCCGGUGUACCGUCCAAGUACCA